rnacentral:misc_RNA from 1 species
GUAGGUGAACCUGCGGAAGGAUCAUUAAUGCUAAAACGUAUGUAAGCUCGCUCACGUGUGGCUUACAGCACGUCUAUCCAAACAGCUAAACGCUCGAAUUUUUGUUCUAACUCGAACAAACUUUCGACGUCACAAGUAACCUGAGGACUGUUCUUUUCUUCUGCGCGAGUGGAAGAGAGGGAUUGUUCCUCUACCCCAUUUUAUACCAUAAUUACCCUUAUUAUAAACUACUUAGACUGAUAUAAAAUUCACACAUUUAUUUUAUAAAUGUAAAAAACAACUCUUAGCAAUGGAUAUCUAGGCUCUC